GGCUAUGUAGCUCAGUUGGUUAGAGCAUCGCACUCAUAAUGCGGGGGUCACAGGUUCGAAUCCCGUCAUAGCCA
rfam:Aeromonas diversa 2478-85 Contig 18, whole genome shotgun sequence.